UACGGGGGGAGCAAGCGUUGUUCGGAUUUACUGGGCGUAAAGGGCGCGUAGGCGGCCACCGCAAGUCGACUGUGAAGUCUCCGGGCUUAACCCGGAAAGGUCAGCCGAUACUGCGGGGCUAGAGUGCAGAAGGGGCAACUGGAAUUCUCGGUGUAGCGGUGAAAUGCGUAGAUAUCGAGAGGAACACCUGCGGCGAAGGCGGGUUGCUGGGCUGACACUGACGCUGAUGCGCGAAAGCUAGGGGAGCGAACGGG
rnacentral:rRNA from 1 species